AUGGGACAGGGCUUAUAGGACGCCCGCAGCAUUCCACCUCUGCCUGCUUCAAGGGCACGAGGCAGGGAUGGGACACUCGCCGAACAUUCUGGGAAGCCAGGGCUACGCUCUGCCUGCCAUUCAUUCCUGCUGCUCCUACCAGUGCCUCCUUGAUCCUCCUGAGGAUUCAGGUCAGCAGGUUUGCACGACCUCAGCUGGCCAUGGAUGCAACGGGGACAAACUGUCCUUUGUGCACUCGGGGCUGCCUGGGGGUGCAAAUGUGUGCUGGCUCUUCCUGGAAGAGGAUGGGCCCAUGGCUGCAGCCCCAGCAUACCUGGGCAUGGGCCCUCGAGACGGACCAGGAAACUAAGGCUCAGAGAGAGGCCGUGUGUCCAAGUGGCUGCCUCUGCCAAGGAGAGAAUCUGGGACUCAGACACAGGUCCACCGACCCCAGAGUCCACACUGGUCAGCUCCAGCCUGCCAGAGACAGGAGAGGGCCCUCGCUCCAGCCUGGCUCUGCCCCAACCUGCUGGCAGCACUUGUAUCCGGUCAGGAGGUGUGUGUGGUGUGCAAGAACGGAAGAGGAGGCAGCACAAAGCUCAGUAAGGCUCAGCUCUGGCACUGCCCCUUCCCGGAGGCCUUCCUGACCACCAUUAGUGGCCGGGCCUUGCCUCGGAGGGCCCGAACCCUGGCAUCACUCAGUACAGGGCUGAGCACAGAGGGGACGAGAAUCAGAGCGAAGUGAACAUUGGACAGGAGGUAACCCCCAGACACCUCAACCUACUCCCAGCAUGCCUCUGUCCAUCCCCCCGAAGAGACAGGUCUGGUAAGCCCUGCAGGUCAGGAACGCCAUGCCGGGACAAAGGAACCUUAUCUUGGGGGCACUGGGGAGCCAUCGCUGUUUGGGGACUGAGGAGUUGUAUGCCCGGAGCUGAGAGCUGGACCGACUGCCCCGGAGCCAGAAAACAGCCAGACAGGCCUGGGCUGAGACCUAGAAGGCAGGCCCUCCUGUGGUUUAUUCAGAACGUCUGCCUACACAACUAAAGAAGGAUCCAUCCAAGCAAAGACUGGCCUGGGGUGUCCCCUGCAGUACAGUUUAUAAGAACAGAACAACCUGGAUGUCCAUCAAUGAGGGACCCAGUAGAUAAACCAAGGAACUCGACUGCUGCCUGGCUGUAGUUACAGGAACAAAGCAAGUUAUAACCUGCUGUGAGCUAAUGGACCCUAUUCUCUAUAAAAGUAUACAUUAGCGGUUGCCUGGGCUGGGUGUGGAAGGCUGGGUGUGGACCAGGGAGCAGUUGUAAAUAGAGGGGAUGAAAAUGUUCCACAACUAACUGGUGAUGGUCAACACAACUUGGUCAACGUAAAAACUUAUUGUACACUUAAAAUGGGUAAAUCUUACGACAGGUAAAUUGUACCUCAAUGAUGUUUUCAAAAAGUAGAUCACAAGUGUAGAGCCAUUCAAAAACAAAUAUAU